rnacentral:rRNA from 1 species
CAGGCUGAAGACCUUACCCGAUUAGCUGAGAGGUGGUGCAUGGCCGUCGUCAGUUCGCACUGUGAAGCAUCCUGUUAAGUCAGGCAACGAGCGAGACCCACGUCUACAGUUGCCAGCAUACCCCUCCGGGGUGAUGGGUACACUGUGGAGACCGCCGCUGCUAAAGCGGAGGAAGGAGUGGGCAACGGUAGGUCAGUAUGCCCCGAAUCUCCCGGGCUACACGCGGGCUACAAUGGUUGGUACAAUGGGCAUCUACCCCGAAAGGGGAAGGAAAUCUCUUAAAGCCAAUCGUAGUUCGGAUUGAGGGCUGCAACUCGCCCUCAUGAAGCUGGAAUCCGUAGUAAUCGCGUUUCAACAGAACGCGGUGAAUACGUCCCUGCUCCUU